rnacentral:rRNA from 1 species
GGCGCGCUUAACGCAUGCAAGUCGAGCGAUGAGGCUCCCUUCGGGGAGUACAUCAGCGGCAGACGGGUGAGUAACACGUAGAUAACCUGCCCUCAAGACGGGGACAACCGGUGGAAACAGCGGCUAAUACCCGAUAUGCUCACAGGAUCGGGAGGUCGAGUGAGGAAAGGCUUCGGUGCUUGAGGAGGGAUCUGCGGCCCAUCAGCUAGUUGGUGAGGUAACGGCUCACCAAGGCGAAGACGGGUAGGGGGUGUGAGAGCAUGGCCCCCCACAAUGGGACUGAGACACGGCCCAUACUCCUACGGGAGGCAGCAGCGGGGAAUAUUGCGCAAUGGACGGAAGUCAGACGCAGCGACGCCGCGUGGGUGAGGAAGGCCUUCGGGUUGUAAAGCCCUUUUCAGGGGAGCGAGAAAGGACGGUACCCUUGGAAUAAGCGUCGGCUAACUACGUGCCAGCAGCCGCGGUAAGACGUAGGACGCAAGCGUUAUCCGGAUUUACUGGGCGUAAAGCGCCUGUAGGCGGUCAAGUAAGUCGGAUGUGAAAGCCCCGUGCUCAACGCGGGGAAGCCAUUCGAUACUGCGUGACUAGAGAACGGCAGAGGGAAACGGAAUUUCUGGUGUAGCGGUAAAAUGCGCAGAGAUCAGAAAGAACACCGAUGGCGAAGGCAGUUUCCUAGGCCGCAUCUGACGCUGAGAGGCGAAAGCUAGGGGAGCAAACAGGAUUAGAGACCCUGGUAGUCCUAGCUGUAAACGAUGGAUGCUAGGUGUGGGCCGGAAAGGUCCGUGCCGUAGUUAACGCGAUAAGCAUCCCGCCUGGGGAGUACGGCCGCAAGGCUAAAACUCAAACGAAUUGACGGGGACCCGCACAAGCAGCGGAGCGUGUGGUUUAAUUCGAUGCUACACGCAGAACCUUACCUGGGCUUGACAUGUAGGUGGUAGUGAAGUGAAAGCGGAGCGACCCUUCGGGGAGCCUACACAGGUGCUGCAUGGCUGUCGUCAGCUCGUGCCGUGAGGUGUCGGGUUAAGUCCCGUAACGAGCGCAACCCUUGUCCUUAGUUACAAGUGUCUAAGGAGACUGCCGGUGACAAACCGGAGGAAGGUGGGGAUGACGUCAAGUCAGCAUGGCC